GUAGAGGUUAAAUAUUAGAUAACUUAACUGGAAAGCGUGUAUAGAGGCAACUUUAUCAGGGGUUCAAAUCCCCUUCUCUCCGCCA
rnacentral:tRNA from 1 species